CGCCGGCUCACUCGCUGCUCACCAGCCCGUCGGGACGCACGCGCGGUCGGGAGCCUCCUCGCGCGCUCGGAUGGUUCCGGUUCCGUUCCCAGACGCGGCGGUUCCACUAACGCGGACGCACGCACACACACGCAAAGGCCUGACGAUACGUGCACGCGCUUUGACGCCGAGCGCCCGGGUCCAAGCUCGUCACCGCAGGAGGAUGGGUGGAGCCUUCGGGGUUGAUUGUUAUCUUUGGUUAUCUAGCUGUAUGAGUGAUGUACAUUCUUCAUAAAGCUAGAUAACCGAAAGUAACAAGAAUCCCAUUACACUCCUGCAAAGGCACCAAGACCCCCCAAAAGGACCUCGCCGCAGAAGAACAAAAAACAAACAAACGAAAAAAAUGGAUUGAAAAAAAGACUGUCGGAAAGACUCGGGAGGAAGCAGCAAAAGAGGCUAACGUCGGCCAGGCUGAAAAUGAGGAUGGAGGAGGAAGAAUCUCCUCCUCCUGCUCGGCUCUCCUUUUCUUCCUCCUUCCCUCCACCCCGGCCACGCUUCCCCUCUUCGUCCUUCUCGCCGCUAUCUUGAAGACCCGGCGCCAAGCGCAGGUCGACGGAACCUUGAGCGGAGAGGAUUCAGGUCGCACCGACACCGUUCGGCCAAUCAAAGCAAAGCAGGGAGUUCACUGCCAAGCCAUUGAUGACAAUUAUAUUAAUAAUAAUCAGAAUCAUCUUUAUUUUGACAAGUAUGUCAAAAACACACAAGGAAUUUGUGUCUGGUAGUUUCAAAUCUAAUCAUUAACAAUUAUCGGUGGACUUGUUACUUGGACCAGUGAAUGUGAGCCCCGCGGCAGCGGUGAAUCGUACUGCACUGUGAUUGGACAGCUCGUGUGUCAGACGACGCACCGACCAAUGAGAGCUGUCUCCUUUCAACCCUAUGCAACCCCUUCCCUUUUUUUUUUGGCUUCAGUUUUCUCAUGUCUUUGCCAAUUUCCUCUUAUCCUGCGGAACAAACACGCCUUCAUUUCCUGUUCUUGACACGCAGACAUACGCACAUAUUAACCGCUAUCACAGCCUAAUUGGCUCGAUAUUUACUUUUUCAGAAGUGGCAACCCCCCCCCCCCACACACACACAUUAUUAGGAUUGAUCAUCUAUGCAAAUUUUUAAAAUGUGACUUUAAAAUGGUCUCAAGAGGGCGCAAUCGGGGACAAUCUUGUGAUCUCCAAUCAUCAUGUCGAAUGUACAGAUUUUUUUUUUAAUUAUAUGACUGAAAGAUUUUUUGUGAUGCAACCGCAGCUGUGUAUGUUCACCAAUGUGCCUUGUAUGAAGCCUGUGUUGCAAUAUUAUUAAAUGUUUACACUGAAAACAAGCAUAUGUGAUGGGAUUUCA